UGGGGAAUUUUGGACAAUGGGCGAAAGCCUGAUCCAGCAAUGCCGCGUGUGUGAAGAAGGCCUUCGGGUUGUAAAGCACUUUUGUCCGGAAAGAAAUCCUUGGCUCUAAUACAGUCGGGGGAUGACGGUACCGGAAGAAUAAGCACCGGCUAACUACGUGCCAGCAGCCGCGGUAAUACGUAGGGUGCAAGCGUUAAUCGGAAUUACUGGGCGUAAAGCGUGACGCAGGCGGUUUGCUAAGACCGAUGUGAAAUCCCCGGGCUCAACCUGGGAACUGCAUUGGUGACUGGCAGGCUAGAGUAUGGCAGAGGGGGGUAGAAUUCCACGUGUAGCAGUGAAAUGCGUAGAGAUGUGGAGGAAUACCGAUGGCGAAGGCAGCCCCCUGGGCCAAUACUGACGCUCAUGCACGAAAGCGUGGGGAGCAAACAGGAUUAGAUACCCUGGUAGUCCACGCCCUAAACGAUGUCAACUAGUUGUUGGGGAUUCAUUUCCUUAGUAACGUAGCUAACGCGUGAAGUUGACCGCCUGGGGAGUACGGUCGCAAGAUUAAAACUUAAAUGAAUUGACGGGGUCAUAGCUGUUUCCU
rnacentral:rRNA from 1 species